UACGUAGGGGGCUAGCGUUGUCCGGAUUUAUUGGGCGUAAAGGGCGCGUAGGCGGCUCGGCACGUCCGUUGUGAAAUCGCCCGGCUCAACUGGGCGGGGUCAGCGGAUACGGUCGAGCUUGAGCAAGCUAGGGGGUAAUGGAAUUCCCGGUGUAGUGGUGGAAUGCGUAGAUAUCGGGAGGAACACCAGUGGCGAAGGCGGUUACCUGGGGCUUUGCUGACGCUGAUGCGCGAAAGCGUGGGGAGCGAGUCCGG
rnacentral:rRNA from 1 species